rnacentral:rRNA from 1 species
UAGUUGGUAGGGUAGCGGCCUACCAAGGCAACGAUCAGUAGCCGGCCUGAGAGGGUGGACGGCCACACUGGGACUGAGAACGGCCCAGACUCCUACGGGAGGCAGCAGUGGGGAAUAUUGCGCAAUGGGGGAAACCCUGACGCAGCGACGCCGCGUGAGCGAAGAAGGCCUUCGGGUUGUAAAGCUCUGUUGUAAGGGACGAAAGAUCAAGGGAAUAACUGCCCUUGAAGUGACGGUACCUUACCAGCAAGCCCCGGCUAACUACGUGCCAGCAGCCGCGGUAAGACGUAGGGGGCGAGCGUUGUCCGGAAUUACUGGGCGUAAAGAGCACGUAGGCGGAUGUAUAAGUCAGGUGUGAAAGACCGCAGCCUAACUGCGGGGUUGCACUUGAAACUGUAUAUCUUGAGGGCAGGAGAGGUUAGUAGAAUUCCUGGUGUAGCGGUGAAAUGCGUAGAAAUCAGGAGGAAUACCAGUGGCGAAGGCGACUGACUGGACUGACCCUGACGCUGAGGUGCGAAAGCGUGGGUAGCAAACAGGAUUAGAUACCCUGGUAGUCCACGCCGUAAACGAUGGAUACUAGGUGUGGGAGGUAUCGACCCCUUCCGUGCCGCAGCUAACGCAAUAA